ensembl:snRNA U6 U6 spliceosomal RNA
GUGCCUUCUUCAGCAGCACAUAUACUAAAACUGGAGUGAUACAGAGAAUAUUAACAUGGCUCUGGCACAAGGCUGACAUGCAAAUUUGUGAAGCAUUCCAUAUUUUU